rnacentral:rRNA from 1 species
UACGGAGGGUGCGAGCGUUGUCCGGAAUCACUGGGCGUAAAGGGCGCGCAGGCGGCUUAUUUUGUCAGGCGUGAAAGCCCCGGGCUUAACCUGGGAACUGCGUUUGAUACGGAUGGGCUAGAGUUCGGGAGAGGAGAGUGGAAUUCCCAGUGUAGAGGUGAAAUUCGUAGAUAUUGGGAAGAACACCGGUGGCGAAGGCGGCUCUCUGGACCGAUACUGACGCUGAGGCGCGAAAGCGUGGGGAGCAAACAGG